UCUAAACUCCUUGCAUCAAAGUGACAAUCGGUAUUUGUUUUGUUAUGGUGGAAUGUCAGAUGAUACAAUGCCGUUGGGCAUAAAGCCUGAGUGCUAUAAGUGUAAUGUAACUGAAAGUAAACUUUGGAAACAGACAGCCGAUGGCUUCGUGUGUGCGGACUGUUGUGAUUUGGUAACUAAGACCUCUUGCCCUCCCAAGAAUGAAGACAUUGCUUCACAGUCGUCGAAGUCCCAAGAAACAGCGCCACGUAUUGCAACUCGUAAGAGUACAAGAAGUACGCGGAAUUACAAAACAAGAUUAAAUCCAUACGCUCUUCCGAAGCCUCUUACUCCAAAGGGUAAAGGGAGGCGUGUUAUCUUCAAGAAAACCCCAACCAAAGCACCUACGGCAGUUGCUACACCUGUGACAAGCAAUUACGUAUUUUACAAGGGUAGCUAUUUCCAGGUUGGGGACAUAGUCUCUGUGCAGGACAUUGAUGGUGGAUUAUAUUAUGCCCAAAUAAGAGGUCUCCUUACAGAUCAGUACUGUGAAAAAAGCUGUGUUCUGACGUGGCUCAUUCCUACCACUGCCAGUCCUGAUCCCAAUGAGGGGUUCGAUCCCUCAACCUACAUAAUUGUUAUGCACAUCAUCAUUCCUUUCGAACUGCGGUGGAUUGUUUACAACAAUCUUCAUAGUAGAAUAGAUGUGGUGUGAAGCAGUAAUCACAAUACCCAGUUUCUUAAACAGAUGUCUGUAGGAUGAUCAUGGGUCCUGAUGAGGAGCUACCAAGACUCUUGUCGUGCAUGGAAUUUGUUAUGCAUGCGCCAUCAGAUUAUUAUAAAAAUCGCAAAUCCCCAUAUCCUUCUGUAGAUUAUGAUAGUAAUGAUCCAAAUUUCAUAUGGAC
rnacentral:misc_RNA from 1 species